rnacentral:ribozyme from 1 species
GAAGAAACCAAACCGAAAAACGAACCCCCCAAAAAAGAAAGAAAAUCAAGUUAUCCUAUUUCCGUUCGCACCAUGCUAUCGACUUCUGACAUCUUGGUUGCAUAACAAUAUUCUUGUUUUCUCCUCAUUCUCUUUUCUAAAGAAUGAAGAAACUUGAAGAAAGUUCG